GUGAAUCAUCGAAUUUUUGAACGCAAAUUGCACUCUCUGCUGAGAGUAUGCCUGUUUGAGGGUCAGCCUAAAAAAAAUCUACAUAGUUUCUGUUUCUCUGUGACAUUCUUCGGAAAUUGGGUCAUCUUAAACCUUUGGGUUUAAGCGGCUUAAAAUUUUCUUUACGAUUCCACGAACGUUGCUAAGAGUUUACUUCUUACACGGUUAAGUUAUC
rnacentral:misc_RNA from 1 species